UACGUAGGGGGCUAGCGUUGUCCGGAAUCAUUGGGCGUAAAGCGCGUGUAGGCGGCCCGGUAAGUCCGCUGUGAAAGUCGGGGGCUCAACCCUCGAAAGCCGGUGGAUACUGUCGGGCUAGAGUACGGAAGAGGCGAGUGGAAUUCCUGGUGUAGCGGUGAAAUGCGCAGAUAUCAGGAGGAACACCGAUGGCGAAGGCAGGUCUCUGGGCAUUAACUGACGCUGAGGAGCGAAAGCAUGGGGAGCGAACAGG
rnacentral:rRNA from 1 species